CCCAGUAGUUACAUAUUAUAAAAUCAGGCAAGCCAACCACAAAUGGGCACUAAAAAUGGAAUGCUAACUUAAGUUUAUAUGUCAAUUUUACAUCUGUAAGGAACUUUUUUAUGUCUUUUCUGUGACUUGACAAAAAAAUUUGCAUGCUAAAAUAAUGCUCAUUUGAUUGUCAUAUAUUACAAGGUUGAUGUACUAAUACAAUAGAGCUAUCUCUGGUAUGGUUCAAGCACUGGUGAUUCUGAUUCUCAGGCUUCAGGGGCAUAUAUUUUCCGGCCUAAUGGGGCACCUCCAACUGUUGUUUCAAGAUCAGUUCCACUAAAGGUCAUUCGUGGAGCUUUAUUUGAUGAGAUUCACCAACAGUUCAAUUCAUGGAUCUAUCAAGU